AUGCUACUUUGGCAGCAUAUAUACUAAAAUUAGAACAACGGAGAACAUUAGCAUGGCCCCUGUGCAAGGAUGACACACAGAUUCGUGAAGCAUUUCAUAUUUUU